CGCCUGUGUGCAGCUACGCAGGCGCAAGUAGCACAUUGAAGGUGAUAUUAUGUGGGACAUGAUGCCGUUUUACCUGGUAGAAACUCACCUCCAUUUCCGAGGAACUGCCUACAUAUUCAGGGCCAAAGAGUAAGCCGAAGAAGUAAUCAGUAUGUGAGAAGCAGCUUCCUUGCUGUGCCCUUCAACCCUGAAGAUGGAUGCAAUACAUUCAUUUGAAAUGAGAGCGAACUACCAGACUGCAUGGCAUCAAGCCUCGGAAGAACAUUUUGAAUAUGAUACCCUGUGAAUGGAGUAUAACAGGACCAGCACCAAUAUACAUAAUUCCACUGUUGGCAAAAUUCAUCAGUCUCUUCACCAUUGACCUCAUGAACAAAAUAUUCGAGCAUGGUAUUUUAUUGUUCCUGCAUCUCCCACUUCCCAUGGCAUAUAAUUUAGUUCUGAUUUAUUUCCUAUCGUAGUUGGUUCAAUGAAGGCUUUUUCUUAUUCUUCGGGUUCUCCCAGUUUAGUAGGUUCCUUGUUCUAAAUACUCCAAAAUUCAUUACUUCACACAUUCUAUUAUUACUACUGCAACAUUUCAUUCUGUCAGAUUCUGGUUUUACACUUUACUCUGUCUAGUCAAUCAUAAAUGUCUCCAAAAAAUUAUUUCUGCCGAUUCAAACCAAAGCCUUACUCUGUGAAUUAGUAUAAAGACUUCAACACAGAAAUUAAUAAUUUGCCCUCUACAUGUAAUUCUAUUUAUUUCCAUUUUCUCUCUUUCUGUGCUAUUCUACACAUCCUUGCUUGUAGAGCUUGCUGGUUUUUAUUUAAAGGAACAUUCCCCUGCUGCUCAAAGACUACAAACAUGUGUAUUUAGUUCAAGGGUUAAGGCCAAGAGUCCUUUCAUGUGAGAUAUUUUGUGCAUAGUAUGGAAACACAGUUAAUACUUGCAAUAUCCUCUAGACAUGAAUCAGUCUGUAUUUAGGGGUGUGCUGUGAUGCAAUCUUGUAAAUUUACUGACCUUUCAGGGUAAUAUACAAUGACCAUCUUAAGGCUUAAAGAGUAAGCGAAGAAAGCAUGCUGCAUAACUGCUUGGAUUAAUCUUUGAUCCUGAAGAUGGAAGCAGUAUAUUCCUCCAAAAUGUCAGUGAACUUCUAAUGGACUACACAGUAUCACAUCUCAUAAGGUACUAUUCCUCAUAAGUAGCCAGAUUUGUGCUUCAGUCAUUUAGCCUCAAGAAAAGAGUACACAUGCCCCAUGUUUCAUACCCACUUUAUCCAUAUUGGUGUUCCCAACACAAAGAUAUUCACUGUUUAUAAGCUUUUGUUUCAUUCUUAUAUCAUGCAUAAGCCUUAUGAUAUCUAAUCCCUUCCUGCAGAUUAAAUUUCAUCAUUUAGAAUUACCCUCACUCUGGUAUGUGGCUAAGUAAUUUCUGCAACUGAUAAAGAAUCUUCAAUAAUAUAUAUAUAUAUAAAACACCAUUUUUGGAAUUCAUGCAUCUGCUUCACCACUUCCUUGCUACGCUUGUCAUAGUUCCUACCUUGCUAACUGGUCCAAUUUGGAGUUCCUUUAGAGCAAACUGUUUCCUUUUGCUGUGUACAAAGACUGUUUAAAUUAUGACAAGCAUGCAUGAUGAAAUAUUUGCACAGAUGACACCAUCCAUGGAUGGCAUUUACUACCAACUUGGAUUAUUUUUAUAUUCAUCUCUGACAUAUCUCCAUGUCAGCAGUUAAAAAUACAUUUAAAAGCAAUUUGCUGAGCAAGACUAGUGCCCUGGAAGGGCAGAUGAAUCAGGCUUACUGCAACUACAUAAUGUGUGUAAUGUACAAAGCACAUAUAGAUUCUUCUGUUCUUGGCUUCAACACUGAAUUAGAAUUCAGCAUAUGAUUUCUACAUGCUAUAUAAUUUUAAAAAAUUUUACAGAUAUUUAAUCUCAUACUUAAAUGCUUUAUUCUAAUCUGUUUAGAUGAAGCUUAUAAAAUUGGCAUAUGAUGCUGGCACAGUUCUCCACUGGUUUCAGAACCUCAAUUACUUCCUUCUUCUUAAUGUGGAAACUAAUCAAAUGUGAAAGGGAAGACGGGAGGCAUAUAUUAUGCAGAAACUACGAACUCUUAGCAUUCUGGUUUAAUGGUAUGGCAAUACUUCUUUCAGCUGGUAUGCAUACUGGCACAGUUGUCAAAAGUCACACACUGACUAGUGCGUUUCAUGUUCUGAUUUUCAGACUAAAACCGAACAUUACAAUACUUGAAACAUGGUUUCAGGAAAAGUACUGAUUGGUGAUGGUGGGGGGGGGGAGAAGGAAAAAAGUGCAAAGUUAUAUGAAAGUAGCAAAAACAGGUUCAGGUUUCAUUUGACAGUCUACAGUGUAAUUUUAGCACUGUUCCCCACCAAAUUUUACAUUCUAUAAAAAUUAUUAAACAUACAAACUGACAAAUCUAGCAGACCUGUAAGAAUGAAUCAGAAUUUAGAAGACAUAUUUUCAAUAUGUCCUGAAGGAACUAUCACAGAUGAAUGCAAACUAUGUAGCAGUUUUUCGGUUUGUGACAAGCAAGGAUAAGGUCUGAUUAUUUCCAAAGUAAUGUUCCCACUUUAAACUUAUUCCAACAGAUGCAAUUAUAAUUUAAAAGCUCUUAUUGUAAGCAGUUCAAGCUUAUAGCCAUAUUGAAGCUCACCCUUGGCUGGAGGUCUCUGCAGUGCUACAGUGAACAAGCCACAGCAGAAACUCAAGAAUAUGACAAGAAAAUAAAACAUGUGGGAUGUAGUUUUGUAGUCAUAGUCAUGUUUUGCCUGCUAUACCCUCUGGAGCAUCAGCACAGGCUGUUUAGUGUGCAGAAGUCAUGAUUAAGUGAUGUAAGCAGAUUGGUCUGAUUUUGAUGUUUAAGAAGAUUAUUAAUUUUGGUCAAAUUUCACACAAGACCAACCAUUCAUAGCAAGGCACAGUAAUGGUAUCCAUAUUCAGUUUAAUUCAAUGAUUGCAUGUAUAUUAAGAAACUUUUGCAUAAAUUGGAAUAAAUCAUAAAGCAUUAGUUAGGUCUUGCUUAGAGGGGAACACAGACACAACAAACAUUUCAAAAACUAUUUUGUCUGUGAAUACCAGUUGCUAUUGGUCAGUUGCUCUUGUCCUGUCAGUUUCUCUGUUCAUCAUUUUCUCAAAAAUGUAUUCAAGACAUAUGACUACAGUCUGCCCAAUAUGCACCAGUACUUAUUUUGAAAGAGAUUCUUACAAGCAGUUGAUCACAAAAUUAUUGUAUGUACCUCAAACAGUUUCCAAAAAUCAAGAACAUAAGCUUGUUUAAACUAUAUAAACUAUUAUAAAACAACCUCUAAUGGGUCCUGUUUCUUCCCUAUUUCAAGUAUUGCAAAAAAUGUAUAUAUUAUGGCAUUACUUAUAAAAUUACCUUGUAAAUAAAUGAAGUAAAACAACAUAGCUCAAAAUAUAACACUCAUAUACUUGGGUCAUAGUUUUUUAAGUAUCUUAGUGACUUUAUUUUUUAAAUCGGUUCUUUUCAAGCAAUGUAACACUAAAAAUAUGUAAGUACUAUGGAAAGAAUACAACACAAAUCACUUCUGGAGAGAAGUAAUAGCCCAACAUAUUACAAGAAAAUUAUAGUGAAACCAAACAUUCAAAAUCAGUGUUAAAUGAAUGGUAAUCCAUGUUUCUUUCCCAAACUGAAAAUUAUACUUCACAUUUAAAGCCUUUUUUCUGGUGUGUAAAAUUUACAAAAUUUUCCUUUCAAACAAUGACUAUCAUAAACUGACACCACAUAUCCACAAAGUGUAACUGACUUUUUCAGCCAUUUUCUGCUUUAAACUUCUUAAAAUCUGUCAUUCAUGAAUUCAGGGAUGAGUAAUACAGAUAUUUGUUGACAAGUGAAAUGUCUGUGAUACAUAAUAUUGAAACACCUCAACAAUAAAAUUUCUUAUAACUGAUGCACUCUUCUGCCAAUCUUCUGCACGAUUUCUUUUUACAAAUAGAAGUUCUGAAUGAAAUGAUUACGAUUUGCUAAUUUUAAGUUGUGGUCUUCUGAGUUAAAACACCACAUUUUGGUAGGUGGUAAUGUCAUACCAGACUACAGUUUCAUAUCCAGAAGAGUAUAAAAUAAAUCUUUACCUCCAUCAGAAGUUUGAAACUCACAUACGAGUUACACAGCACGAAACAUUGACAGAUCCAGUUUACUGUGAUUAUCUAAAAAUAUUCUUACUGGUGUCAAUAUAUGAUAUAUAAAUUCCAUGGGGAAUACUUCUGAAGAGGCAUAUUUUUGACAGUUUCUUCGGUGGCUGUUCCUAUAUCAGAUGCUAAAAUCUGGAUCAUUGUAAAGUUGCAAAGAAAAUAAAGCUCUAUGUCACAGUCUGAAUAAAUGACAAACAUGGAAAACCAGACUAAAGCCACAGCAACUUGUCUUUCUCGACUGAAAAAUGUUCAUGCAUUUGGAGGCUCAGCAUUAUCUUUAAAAAUUAAAGAAUUACAGUACCUACAAUUAUGGGUCAUUGCUCAAAAGUUUAAAAACCAUUAAUCAUCAUUCAAAUUUGUGUGUUCAGUGAUACACAUCAAAGUAUAUAUUUAUGGGAAAUCACUCAAAAAAGAGCUUUGACAUUUCACGAACAAUUUAUCUGUGAAACAAUAUUUUGUCAGGAUACAUCAUUAUAUGCAGAUAAACUGAAGGAUAUUGUUUCUUGCAUCACAUAUAGAUUAUGCAAAUACCUACUCUUUUCUGAAAAUUAUUUUACAAAUAAUAAUGCUUAAUGAGGAUAAAGACUUUUAUCACUGAGACGAUUCAGAAUUUAUAUAAUAAUUAUGCAUGGCAAAACAGAACAUGCGAACUGCAAAUUUUGCAAUGUCCAGAUUCAAUGUCAUUAUUUAAUAUUUUAAUAUGCCACUGUUAUGCUAAUUAAAUAUGCUAGUUAUGCAACUUGCAUUUUUAUCCUCCUCUCACUGAACUUUUAAGAGAAAGGCAGGUUGAAGCAUAAUAAACACCUCCAAAUUUUAAGUCUUCUUAAAUUAUGCUGGAAUAAAAUGAAGUGACAACUUUCCAGAAAUUAUUUUCACAGUUGUCAAUACAGUUAUAAGGAAAUAUUCCUUGAAGAUCACUGCAAUGCAGCUUGUCUGUAAAGUUCCAUUCCACCUGAAAUAUUAACAAAAAAUUGCUUGAAACUGGGCAGUAACCAGUUUUCACAUUUUUAUGAAUGCAACCUUAUCCCUAUGGUAAUCCACUGGCAUAGUAAUGAAGUAAUAAACUCAACAGUUCCAGUACUUUUAAGUUUUUAUUUUAUAUUUUUUGGUUCAAGUUAAUAUUGUUGUGGAUCAUUAACAAAGAAGAAUUCUGUCUUCUGAGAUGUGGCAAUGUGUAGUAUCCUUAAAAUUUAUCAAUGUUUUGGAGGAAUGUAUUGCCUCCAUCUUCAGGGUCAAAGAGUAAGCUGAGUGAGCACACAAACUCCUUCUUGCUUGCUCUACUUACUUUUUUGACACAAAA